rnacentral:rRNA from 1 species
AACGAACGCUGGCGGCAUGCCUAACACAUGCAAGUCGAACGAGACCUUCGGGUCUAGUGGCGCACGGGUGCGUAACGCGUGGGAAUCUGCCCUUGGGUUCGGAAUAACAGUCAGAAAUGACUGCUAAUACCGGAUAAUGUCUUCGGACCAAAGACUUAUCGCCCAGGGAUGAGCCCGCGUAGGAUUAGCUAGUUGGUGAGGUAAAGGCUCACCAAGGCGACGAUCCUUAGCUGGUCUGAGAGGAUGAUCAGCCACACUGGGACUGAGACACGGCCCAGACUCCUACGGGAGGCAGCAGUGGGGAAUAUUGGACAAUGGGCGAAAGCCUGACGCAGCGACGCCGCGUGGGUGAUGAAGGCCU